UAUAAACUAUGAUUGUUAGACCCCCGAAAACUCAAGUAUCCGGGGUCCCAGGCCACGUUCUCGGUCACCCCAAUCACCAGGCAGAUUCGAGAGCUUGCUGCAAAUUGCAUGAGGCUUUAUUGUAGUUUAACAAGCUAACCCCAUGUUAGCUCGGGUCUUUGACCCACCCACCAUGGGACUCCCGAAAGAUCUUAUAGGGCAGCGUAAGGGGAGUGUAUGAGUAAAAUAAUACAGAGACAUCCCAUGUCCCUUCCACAAUGCAGAAAUUUGACAUGGAGGUGAACAUUUGGUUAUGAGAGUGAAAUCUGUGUCACAGAAGCUGUCUGUGACAUUAAUUGGAAGCAUGGCAAAAGGAGGAGGCAGGUCUUGGUCACAAAGCUGAUAUGUAGUCAUGGAACCCUGUGUAAGGGGAAAGGGCCAGCCAAAGAAACACACCCUGAGCAGAGCCAAAAGAAACACACUUUGGCCCAGCAACAAGAGCCAAAGAAAUGCACCCUGACCCUGAAACCAGUGCCAAAGAAAUACACUUUGUCCCUGGAAUCAGAGCCAGUGAAAGAAAGACACCCUGGCCCUAAAAUUAGAGCCAAAAGGCUAAAAAGGACCAGCGAAAGAAACAUACUUUGGGCCUGAAGCCUGAGCUAAAUCUGCCCCUGGCCCUGAGCAGAAAACUAACCAAUUCCUGAACAGGAGAUAUAGCCAUUCUGAGCUCAGGGAUUGAAAUCUGACCAAACCCCACUCUGGAAAUCUCUUUGGAAAAACUCCACCCCUAAGAAUCCCUAUAUAAUCCCUGUGCCUGUUCAGCUUGUGGCUAUAGGGAUGCCUGGCUGUCCUCUGCCACCCUGGCGGAGGGCAACCACUCUCCUGGAUUCUUCCCUCCCAAUAAAUCCCUUGAAUGGAGUUUGGCUUGAAGAACUUAAAAAUCAACAAAGAAAUAAAAUAAGGAGGCUUAGAAAAACCUCCCAUACUAAAAGCAGGGCGGCCUGACUUAAAAGUCUAACCAAAGCCACAAUGACUGGAGUCCCUGGAAUUUUCUAGCCGGCCGCAAUAACUCCCUUACAAGGCCGCAAGAUAGCCUAACUAAAUACCAAGAAUUUCCAAAGGGCCACCCCCCCAUGGGGUCAUGAAGAUAAGAACAGACUAUCCCACCAGUUAAUGUAGCAACAAUUGACAAAAGAGAGUCCUUGAGAAACCAAAGAGAUAGCAGCAAUUGCUGUUUGCUCAGGCAAGAGAGAUCAGCACAUUCUGUGGGCUGUUGACCCAACUGGUGAGUCAGGAGACCAUCUGGCCCCAAAGAUAAGAGACCUUCAAAGGACCUGUGACUCUGGUCACGUACCCGAGCCCCCUCCCCUCCCUAAAAACUUGUGGUUUCUUCCUAUAAAAGAGGCCUGCUUUUGAGGAACAGGGCUUCCUUUGUCUGCUGGACUGGGAGGCCUGUUUGCACAAAUGUCCCGCAAUAAACUUACCAAUGUCCAGCUGGACUGGACAUUGAGGUUUUUUGGGGGAAACUGUCCCAUUUGUGGAGGCUCCUCACUCUGAGGGUCUUUUAGGCUAAGACCAGACCUUCUUUCAGAGGAGCAGAGAAGACCCUUGGAAGAGCAAAGUGGAGCAGAGCAGGAAUGUAACACUUUUCAUGGGAAACCUUCCCCUAGCAAAACAUAGUUGUUGCACUCUGGAGAUCAGAGCCCUCCCCUACCGGAGCAGAGCUGAUAUACUGGGGAAGCCUUCCCUGGAGCCGGGCUGUAAGCUGCUACACUUACUGUAACCUGUGGUAUUCUGUGGUUCCAGAGUGCCAGAAUAAUUUUCCAUCUGAGCUGUAACACUUAGUAUUCAGUGGUCCCGAGUGCCAGAAUCCCUGUCCCUGACCUAUCAUAGAGUUUACAACCUGGAAACAGAAUUCUGUGAAAGGGAGCUGUAAGUUGAGGUACAUAGGUUGUACCUCACAAGGUUCUGGUAAUCAUACCUUUCAAUUUAAAAUAUUAGGAAACCUGGGGCUGGGGAGAUGGCUUAGCGGUUGAGAGCCCUGGCUGGUCUUCCAGAGGUCCUGAGUUCAAUUCCCAGCAACCAUUUAUAAUGUUAUCUGGUGCCCUCUUCUGGCAUGUAGACAUACACAUGUUAGGGUCCACGGAACAUCCCAUAAAACAAUGACAGCCACUCACAUAUGCAAUCAGCAAAAGCAUUGUUUAUUCCAGCAUUUCAGUGUCUGCCAGCCAGACAACAAAAAGGCUGCAACCCCAGAGCUCACAGGCUCCCUUUAUAGGCAGCCAGAAGGAGAUUAGGUCAUCCUGAACCUGAUUGUCUGGGGAUGCUCUUCUGCUUUAACAGUAUAGAAAGCGAAAGUGAAACUGGAACUGAGGUCUAACAAGGUACAGAAACUGAAAGUGAAACUAAACUGGGACUCAGGCCUAGCAGAGGCUGGGACCAGGGAAAAGCCUGCCCCUGGAUGGAGCUACUGUGGCCUCUUGUUCCCCUUGAGUUAGGUUUCAUCUGGAAUCCUAGAGCUGUCUCCUUACCAGGGCCUAAUGGGUCCUGACCUACUGGUUUGUACUGAUGUCUCAGGACCAACAGCUGCACUGUAGAGAUCUGCUCUUUGACAUUUGGCCAGAGCAUUGAUCAUGCAAGGUCUACAGGUGAGGGCCAACAUCAGAAGGACCAAGGGACUAAUCAGGGCAGAUACCAGAGUCACCAGCCAGGAUGAAAGUAAAAGAGAAACUCAGACCAUCCCUCAUCUCGUUUCCUUUCUAAUUGUCUAUUAUAUAGUCUUUUCCUGAGGAGGUCCAUGGAGUUGUCCCUGACAACAGCUGAGUGGUUGAUAUAGAAACAACAUUGUUCUCCUAGAGCCAGACAAAGACGUUCUUGUAAAAACAGCAAGCCUAGUCCCUUUCUAUUCUGGAAUCCUACCUUUGCCAAGAAAGAGAGGUACUCUUCUCUUUCUUGUCUAUCUAGAAAAGGUGAUAGACUUUUCUAGAGUGGCUAUGUCAGCAUCAAUAGCCAUACUUAAGGCUUUAUAGUUCUGGUACUGGAGAACAAAAACUGGCAUUCCUGGACCUAUAACCCCAGCUAGGCCAAGGUCUAGGAGGGAUGACACAAAGGUAGCCAUGAAAACCUCCCAUUUGGCUUAUUCUGCUGGUCUUAGCCAGUACAAAAUCUCCCCUUCAGCCAGGCAUUGGUGGCGCAUGCCUUUAAUCCCAGCACUCAGGAGGCAGAGGCAGGUGGAUCUCUGUGAGUUCGAGGCCAGCCUGGUCUCCAGAGUGAGUGCCAGGAUUGAAAGGUUCAGGCAUUAUGCUGGCCUGCCCCUGUUACCUGGUGGAAUCCACUCAGGCAGAACCCUGGUCAGCCCUAGGUUCCAUGGGAACUAAGUCUGCACGCAGGUGCAGAGGACCCCUUUAAAA
rnacentral:lncRNA from 1 species